GUGACAUAAAUCCCUUUAACGAUGGAUCGGUCCCGUCAAGUGUCCCAAGACUCAGCUCACGCCGACGAGAGAUGAGCUGUAAUCUAGUCGUUUUCUCCCAGUUUGAAGAAAAAAGGCCAUCCAUCCAUCCAUGCUGUUUUAUCAGCUCAGCAUGGGCUUCAGGAACAAGGCGAGAGAGAAUGAGGAGGUGAGGGAGCAAACACACAGACACCAGACACAUGCAUGCACCGGAGCCAAAGAUACAGCCUGUACUGCACUAAUGCAACACAACUACAAGCCAUA